rnacentral:rRNA from 1 species
GAAAAGAUAAGUGCUGAAAGCAUCUAAGCACGAAACUUGACCCGAGAUGAGUUCUCCCUGAGACUUUAAGUCUCCUGAAGGAACGUUGAAGACGACGACGUUGAUAGGUCGGGUGUGUAAGCGCAGCGAUGCGUUGAGCUAACCGAUACUAAUGAACCGUGAGGCUUAACCUUACAACGCCGAAGCUGUU